GACGAACGCUGGCGGCGUGCUUAACACAUGCAAGUCGAACGGAAAGGCCCUGCUUUUGUGGGGUGCUCGAGUGGCGAACGGGUGAGUAACACGUGAGUAACCUGCCCUUGACUUUGGGAUAACUUCAGGAAACUGGGGCUAAUACCGGAUAGGAGCUCCUGCUGCAUGGUGGGGGUUGGAAAGUUUCGGCGGUUGGGGAUGGACUCGCGGCUUAUCAGCUUGUUGGUGGGGUAGUGGCUUACCAAGGCUUUGACGGGUAGCCGGCCUGAGGGGGUGACCGGCCCCAUUGGGACUGGGAUGCGGCCCAGACUCCUACGGGAGGCAGCAGUGGGGAAUAUUGCACAAUGGGCGGAAGCCUGAUGCAGCAACGCCGCGUGCGGGAUGACGGCCUUCGGGUUGUAAACCGCUUUCGCCUGUGACGAAGCGUGAGUGACGGUAAUGGGUAAAGAAGCACCGGCUAACUACGUG
rnacentral:rRNA from 1 species